rnacentral:rRNA from 1 species
GACGAACGCUGGCGGCGUGCCUAAUACAUGCAAGUCGAACGCAGUGGGGACGGGUGAGUAACACGUGGGUAACCUCCCAUCAGAGGGGAUAACACUUGGAAACAGGUGCUAAACCGAUACUGAUGGAUGGACCCGCGGUGCAUUAGCUAGUGGGUGAGGUAACGACUCACCAAGGCCACGAUGCAUAGCCGACGGGAGAGGGUGAUCAGGCACACUGGAACGGAGACACGGCCCAGACACCUACGGGAGGCAGCGGUAGAGAAGCUUCGGCAAGGGAAGAAAGUCUGACCGAGCAACGCCGCGUGAGUGAAGAAGGUUUGCGGAUCGGAAAACUAUGUUGUUAGAGAAGCGGUAUCUAACCAGAAAGCCACGGCUAACUACGUGCCAGCAGCCGCGGUAAUAC